GACGAACGCUGGCGGCGUGCCUAAUACAUGCAAGUCGAACGCAGUGGGGACGGGGGAGUAACACGUGGGUAACCUCCCAUCAGAGGGGAUAACACCUGGAAAUAGGUGCUAAACCGAUACUGAUGGAUGGACCCGCUGUGCAUUAGCUCGUUGGUGAGGUAACGGCCCACGAAGGCCACGAUGGAUAGCCAAGCGGAGAGGGGGAUGAGCCACACUGGGGCUAGGACACGGGCCAGACUGCUACGGGAGGCAGCAGAAAGGAAACUUCGGCAAUAGACGGAAGUCUGACCGAGCAACGCCGCGUGAGUGAAGAAGGUGUUCGGAUCGUAGAACUCUGUUGUGAGAGAAGCGGUAUCUAACCAGAAAGCCACGGCUAACUACGUGCCAGCAGCCGCGGUAAUUC
rnacentral:rRNA from 1 species